AAGUCGUAACAAGGUUUCCGUAGGUGAACCUGCGGAAGGAUCAUUAAAGAUUCUGGCCUUCGGGCCAACUUUUUCAGCUGUGCGCCUCGGCUGCACGCUGAUAAACCUCACACACCUGUGCACAUUUCGGUCGCAUCCUGCUUGCAGGCUUGCUUCCGCUUUAACAUACAACCACACGUCUCGAAUGUAACAAACUAUAAAGUAACAACUUUCAACAACGGAUCUCUUGGCUCUC
rnacentral:misc_RNA from 1 species